AUGUCUGUCUGUCUGUCUCUCUCUCUAUCUGUCUGUCUGUCUCUCUAUCUGUCUGUCUCUCUGUCCAUCCAUCUGUACGUCUGUCUCUCUCUCUCUCUGUCUGUCUGUCUGUCUAUCUGUCCAUCUGUCUGUCUGUCUGUCUCUCUGUCCAUCCAUCUGUCUCUCCAUCUGUCUCUCUGUCCAUCCAUCCAUCUGUCUGUCUGUCCAUCUUAUUAUGAAUUUAAUUGUCCAUCUGUCUCUCUGUCUGUCUGUCUCUCUGUCCAUCCAUCUGUCGGUCUGUCUGUCCAUCUUUCUGUCUCUCUGUCUGUCUAUCUGUCUCUCUGUCGGUCUGUCUCUCUGUCCAUCUUUCUUUCUGUCUGUCUGUGUAUCUUUCUGUCUAUCUGUCUCUCUGUCUGUCUUUAUGUCCAUCUCUCUCUCUCUCUCUGUCUCUCUCUCUGUCUAUCUGUCUCUCUGUCCGUCUAUCUGUCUCUCUGUCCGUCCAUCUGUCUCUCUGUCCAUCCAUCUGUCUGUCUGUCUGUCUGUCCAUCUUUCUGUCUCUCUGUCUGUCCAUCUGUCUCUCUGUCUCUCUGUCCAUUCAUCUGUCUGUCUGUCUGUCCAUCUGUCUCUCUGUCUGUCUGUCUCUCUGUCCAUCCAUCUGUCUGUCUGUCUGUCUGUCUAUCUUUCUGUCUCUCUGUCUGUCCAUCUGUCUCUCUGUCUGUCUUUAUGUCCAUCUCUCUCUCUCUAUCUGUCUCUCUGUCCGUCCAUCUGUCUCUCUGUCCAUCCAUCCAUCUGUCUUUCUGUCUGUCUGUCUCUCUGUCCGUCCAUCUGUCUCUCUGUCUGUCUGUCUCUCUGUCCAUCUGUCUGUCUCUCUAUCUGUCCAUCCAUCUGUCGGAUUGUCUGUCAGAUUGUCUCUCUAUCUGUCUGUCUGUCCAUACAUCGGUCUCUAUACCUAUCUGUCUGUCUCUCUAUCUGUCUGUCUGUCUGUCUGUCUGUCCAUCUAUCCAUCUGUCUCUGUAUCUGUUUGAUUGUCUGUCUCUCUGUCUGUCGUUCUCUUGA
ensembl:lncRNA